CUUUUCCAGCGCGGCGGAGGGCGCCCCCUAGAACGCAGAGGGGGGGCAGAGGGAAGUGAGAUGGGGACUACGGGGUCUCCAGUGGUUCAAACCCUGUCGUUCCUCCGCGUUACAGAGCUACAGCGGUCUCCGGGUGGCGAAGUGCGGAGACGGGGUUUUGGAGACGGUGGAUGGAGGAGGGGGAGGGAAAGCUGCCAACUUUGGAUACCAACCCCGUACACCCACCGAAGGGGAUGUCCCACUUUUUCCAGCGCUGGGAGCAAAAAGAUAACAGUGAGCGAGGUUGAAAACACCUGACAGUGAAAAGAGCAAUUUGAAGAAAAACAAAAUUUAUCUUCAAUGUGAAAAGCAAUUUAUAAAAAUCCGAAUACUUGCCAGGAGCAACUUGACAAAAAAGACAAAGGUGGUAGAAGAAAUGUAACCAGCCCACAAUUCCAAUGUUGAUAACAGAUGAGCUCCCUUUCAAGGUGACUGACAUUUACACAAGUACACAGAGCAAGAAGAAGGUCUGAGUGAACUGCCAAGCAUUUUAACUUCUCCUGAGACCAAGUACAUCAACAGUUCUCUUGGAAAAGAACAACUGAUUUGGGAGUCUAGCAGACUGCCAGCUGCAAGACAUUCAUCCAGCAUCAGGAACACAAUGGGCCUUCAUUUGCCUGCCUUUCUGAGGGCACCAAUCAAAAGGAGUCUACUCCUAUGUAAAUCUUCUGCAGGUUGUGCAGUGGACUUCACCUAGUCUCCCAUCUCCAGCUAAUUUGGCCAAGAAUAGUCACCUGGCGCAAGGUGGGGAGGGAGCUCUCAAUUGGCCAGCAACUUCUGACGUGUGACCUGACUGAACAAUGAGAGGCUCGAGUGAAAUUACCAGCUGGUAGUAGGACAGAGGAUAUAGAUACAUGGAAUGGAGCUGAGCCAAAUUAAUGACAAAGGACUAGACAAGAAUGACUGUUGAUGAUCACCUAUGCUGAGAUCACAAAGCUGCCCCGAGUCCAGAAGCAGGUUCACUGAGGGAGGCUCAACCAUGUUACCAAUCUUGUUUGAGAUUAAUGUUCCUUGUUGUAAACCUCAAGUCUGUUUCUUGCAAUCAAACCAUUCUAAAUUGAAACAACUACUUAGAAAGUGUUUCUAUGGGUUCAGUGGGACAUUUCAACCAAAUGAAAUAUGAUAAUGAUCUUAAAUGAACUAACAAUAGUGUUGCAGAAAUAAAAUACAAAUACCAGAAAGAUAGCCAGGCACAGUGGCUCAUGUCUGUAAUCCCAGCACCUUGAGGGGCCCAGGCAGGAGGAUCCCUUGAGGCCAGGAGUUUGAGACUAGCCAUGGCAACAUAGCAAGGCCCUGUCUCUAUUAAAAAAAUAAUAAUAAUAAUUUAAAAAUUCGCCAGGCACAGUGGUGUGCACCUGUGGUCCCAACUACUCCGGAGGCUGAGGAGGGAGGAUCACUUGAGCCCAAGAGUUCAAGGCUGCUAUGAGCCAUGAUCACACCACUGCACUACAGCCUGGGCAACAGAGUGAGACCUUGUCUCUAAAAAAAUACAAACAAAAUACAGAUUUAACCAACUCAUGCCCAGCUUAAGUACAGAGUUUAAGAGUGUGCAUUUAGAAACUUCAUAAGUGUUUGGAAUCCUUGAGUGUUUUAUUUUGCUUUAAUUUUGGUCUUCAGAUUCAAAGGGUUAUUGUUUGUUUGUUUGUUUGUUUUGAGACGGAAUCUCGCUCUGUCACCCAGGCUGGAGUGCAGUGGCGCGAUCUCGGCUCACUGCAAGCUCCGCCUCCCGGGUUGACGCCAUUCUCCUGCCUCAGCCUCCGGAGUAGCUGGGACUACAGGAGCCCGCCACCACGC
rnacentral:lncRNA from 1 species